UUACACUACGACAAAUUGUAUGUAUUCUUUGACAGCCAAUUUUAUAUCAAAACUAUUGAAAGUAAAUACCUUUGAUUCAUAAUUAACCCAAUGUACAAGAAAUUCUCCGGAGUAAAAAAGGAAAAUGUGUCAGAAAUCGGCCUGUUAAGAACUCAUGGAGCAGAGAGUAUGAAGGAUAAAGCACUACUGACGUUUCUGAAAGUCGAACAUGCAAUUCUAGCUCCAUAAUUUGACAUAACGCUCUUUAGGGCGGGCGAGGUAGAGUUGACCUGUUUAUGUGGAGAGAGUCGUGUAGCCCACACAACUGAGUUGGAUGAUGAAACUGACUAACUCCAGACAUACAGGAUGUGAUAGGCCAAGUUCCUCGUUAUUUUCUUCCUCAUCUAGUUCCUUAUCUAGUUUGCCGGAGUUUUAUUGUGCAGCCAACUAAUAUUUACUGAAACACAAUAUUAAGGU